rnacentral:rRNA from 1 species
AUCGAACGCUGGCGGCAGGCCUAACACAUGCAAGUCGAACGAGUGGCGGACGGGUGAGUAAUUUCUGGGAAACUGCCUGAUGGAGGGGGACAACUACUGGAAACGGUAGCUAAUACCGCAUACCAUCAGAUGUGCCCUGAUGGGAUUAGCUAGUUGUUGGGGUAACGGCUCACCAAGGCGACGAUCCCUAGCUGGUCUGCGAGGGUGACCUGCAACACUGGAACUGAGACACGGUCCAGACUCCUACGGGAGGCAGCAGUGGGGAAUAUUGCACAAUGGACGCGAGCCUGAUGCAGCGAUGCCGGGUGUAUGAAGAAGGCCUUCGGGUUGUAAAGUACUUUCAGCGGGGAGGCGUUACCCGCAGAAAAAGCACCGGCUAACGCCGUGCCAGCAGCCGCGGUAAUUC